rnacentral:rRNA from 1 species
UACGAAGGGGGCUAGCGUUGUUCGGAAUCACUGGGCGUAAAGCGCACGUAGGCGGAUUGUUAAGUCGGGGGUGAAAUCCUGAGGCUCAACCUCAGAACUGCCUUCGAUACUGGCAAUCUCGAGUCCGGAAGAGGUUGGUGGAACAGCUAGUGUAGAGGUGAAAUUCGUAGAUAUUAGCUAGAACACCAGUGGCGAAGGCGGCCAACUGGUCCCGGU